AGGGUCGUCGUUCAACGGCAGGACAGCGGUCUCCAAAACCGCUAAUGAAAGUUCGACUCUUUCCGACCCUGCAA
rnacentral:tRNA from 2 species